UGGGGAAUCUUCCGCAACGGACGAAAGUCUGACGGAGCAACGCCGCGUGAGUGAAGAAGGUUUUCGGAUCGUAAAACUCUGUCUUUUGGGGCGAACGUGAGUAUGGUGAACAAUCAUAGUCAGUGACGGUACCAAAGGAGGAAGCCACGGCUAACUACGUGCCAGCAGCCGCGGUAAUACGUAGGUGGCAAGCGUUGUCCGGAAUUAUUGGGCGUAAAGAGCGCGUAGGCGGGAUAGUCAGUCUGUUGUAAAAGUGCGGGGCUCAACCCCGUGAUGGCAAUGGAAACAGCUAUUCUUGAGUGCAGGAGAGGAAAGUGGAAUUCCCAGUGUAGCGGUGAAAUGCGUAGAUAUUGGGAGGAACACCAGUGGCGAAGGCGACUUUCUGGACUGUGUCUGACGCUGAGGCGCGAAAGCCAGGGGAGCGAACGGGAUUAGAUACCCCGGUAGUCCUGGCCGUAAACGAUGGGUACUAGGUGUGGGAGGUAUCGACCCCUUCCGUGCCGGAGUUAACGCAAUAAGUACCCCGCCUGGGGAGUACGGUCGC
rnacentral:rRNA from 1 species